AGAGGGGGUUUUGAUAUGUCACUGAAAUCAGCAUUCAGGUGAUGUGACUCUUCUGCCAGGGUCCUGCGUACUAGGUGGAUUGUGACAUCUCACUGGACCCGCAACCAUGUAGGUCAUGUGACUUUCAUGCCUUCUCACUGGCCACAGGUGAUGUUGUGCCAUAUAACUGAGACCGUAUCAAAAGCCUAAUAACAAGACGUAUGUCUGGAGCCCCGAUAUGCACAGGAUGGUGAUAUAACCCUCUUCUCUGGAAUGGGCCCCACACAAAGGAAGGAUAGUGACAUAUUGCAAGCCCAGGCACACAGGUGGUUUGGUGACGUUUGAACCAUGAUUCAGCAAAUCUGUAUUGCUUUUACUCCCCUACUGGAACACAAUCUUCAAGGGGCAUUGGGGCUUUUAUACAUGGAUCUUGCCUAUUGUUGAGAUUGCGACUCCUGUAUUUUGACCCAACUCAUAGGAGGUGUUAUCUCUCAUACCUGAAGCCAGGACUUUUGUUGGACUGUGAAACUUAUUUCUGAACAUUUUUGAGUGUGUGAUUGAGAAGUAUGACUUUGCCCA
rnacentral:lncRNA from 1 species